GGAGAGGUGGCCGAGCGGCUGAAGGCGGCGGUUUGCUAAACCGUUAUACGAGUUACAUCGUAUCGAGGGUUCGAAUCCCUCCCUCUCCG
rnacentral:tRNA from 1 species